rnacentral:rRNA from 2 species
GGACAGAAGGGAGCUUGCUCCCGGAUGUUAGCGGCGGACGGGUGAGUAACACGUGGGUAACCUGCCUGUAAGACUGGGAUAACUCCGGGAAACCGGAGCUAAUACCGGAUAGUUCCUUGAACCGCAUGGUUCAAGGAUGAAAGACGGUUUCGGCUGUCACUUACAGAUGGACCCGCGGCGCAUUAGCUAGUUGGUGGGGUAAUGGCUCACCAAGGCAACGAUGCGUAGCCGACCUGAGAGGGUGAUCGGCCACACUGGGACUGAGACACGGCCCAGACUCCUACGGGAGGCAGCAGUAGGGAAUCUUCCGCAAUGGACGAAAGUCUGACGGAGCAACGCCGCGUGAGUGAUGAAGGUUUUCGGAUCGUAAAGCUCUGUUGUUAGGGAAGAACAAGUGCGAGAGUAACUGCUCGCACCUUGACGGUACCUAACCAGAAAGCCACGGCUAACUACGUGCCAGCAGCCGCGGUAAUACGUAGGUGGCAAGCGUUGUCCGGAAUUAUUGGGCGUAAAGGGCUCGCAGGCGGUUUCUUAAGUCUGAUGUGAAAGCCCCCGGCUCAACCGGGGAGGGUCAUUGGAAACUGGGAAACUUGAGUGCAGAAGAGGAGAGUGGAAUUCCACGUGUAGCGGUGAAAUGCGUAGAGAUGUGG